UACAGAGGGGGCUAGCGUUAUUCGGAAUUAUUGGGCGUAAAGGGCGCGUAGGCGGCCAUGCGUGUCUUCCGUGAAAUCCCUCGGCUUAACUGAGGACGUGCGGAAGAAAACUGCAAGGCUCGAGUCCGGGAGAGGGGGGUGGAAUUCCCAGUGUAGCGGUGAAAUGCGUAGAUAUUGGGAGGAACACCGGUGGCGAAGGCGGCCCCCUGGACCGGAACUGACGCUGAGGCGCGAAAGCGGUGGGUAGCAAACGGGG
rnacentral:rRNA from 1 species